rnacentral:rRNA from 1 species
UCGAGAAUUUUUCUCAAUGGGGGAAACCCUGAAGGAGCGACGCCGCGUGGAGGAUGAAGGUCUUCGGGUUGUAAACUCCUGUCAUUUGAGAACAAGGUGCACAUGUUAACUGCAUGUGCAUUGAUAGUAUCAGAAGAGGAAGAGACGGCUAACUCUGUGCCAGCAGCCGCGGUAAUACAGAGGUCUCAAGCGUUGUUCGGAUUCAUUGGGCGUAAAGGGUGUGUAGGUGGCGCCGUAAGUCGGGUGUGAAAUCUCGGGGCUUAACUCCGAAACUGCAUUCGAUACUGCGGUGCUUGAGGACUGGAGAGGAGACUGGAAUUCAUGGUGUAGCAGUGAAAUGCGUAGAGAUCAUGAGGAAGACCAGUGGCGAAGGCGGGUCUCUGGACAGUUCCUGACACUGAGACACGAAGGCCAGGGGAGCAAACGG